rnacentral:rRNA from 1 species
UGAGUAAUGCCUAGGAAUCUGCCUGGUAGUGGGGGAUAACGUUCGGAAACGGACGCUAAUACCGCAUACGUCCUACGGGAGAAAGCAGGGGACCUUCGGGCCUUGCGCUAUCAGAUGAGCCUAGGUCGGAUUAGCUAGUUGGUGAGGUAAUGGCUCACCAAGGCGACGAUCCGUAACUGGUCUGAGAGGAUGAUCAGUCACACUGGAACUGAGACACGGUCCAGACUCCUACGGGAGGCAGCAGUGGGGAAUAUUGGACAAUGGGCGAAAGCCUGAUCCAGCCAUGCCGCGUGUGUGAAGAAGGUCUUCGGAUUGUAAAGCACUUUAAGUUGGGAGGAAGGGUUGUAGAUUAAUACUCUGCAAUAUUGACGUUACCGACAGAAUAAGCACCGGCUAACUCUGUGCCAGCAGCCGCGGUAAUACAGAGGGUGCAAGCGUUAAUCGGAAUUACUGGGCGUAAAGCGCGCGUAGGUGGUUUGUUAAGUUGGAUGUGAAAUCCCCGGGCUCAACCUGGGAACUGCAUUCAAAACUGACUGACUAGAGUAUGGUAGAGGGUGGUGGAAUUUCCUGUGUAGCGGUGAAAUGCGUAGAUAUAGGAAGGAACACCAGUGGCGAAGGCGACCACCUGGACUAAUACUGACACUGAGGUGCGAAAGCGUGGGGAGCAAACAGGAUUAGAUACCCUGGUAGUCCACGCCGUAAACGAUGUCAACUAGCCGUUGGAAGCCUUGAGCUUGUAGUGGCGCAGCUAACGCAUUAAGUUGACCGCCUGGGGAGUACGGCCGCAAGGUUAAAACUCAAAUGAAUUGACGGGGGCCCGCACAAGCGGGUGGAGCAUGUGGUUUAAUUUCGAAGCAACCGCGAGAACUCUUUACCAAGGCCCUGUACAUUCCUAGUGAACUUUCUAGAAGAUAGAUUGGUGCCUUUCGGAACAUUGAGACAGAGCUGCCAUGGCUGUCGCUCACCUCGUGUCCUGGAGCAAUGUUGGAUUAAGUUCCGUACGAGGCAACCUUUGGUCCUUAGUACAGACGGUAAAUGGGUGGUCACUCCUUAGGAACUUGCGGGUGACCAACGGAGCUAGGGUGAGGA